rnacentral:rRNA from 1 species
GAUGAACGCUGGCGGCGUGCCUAAUACAUGCAAGUCGAGCGAACUGAUUAGAAGCUUGCUUCUAUGACGUUAGCGGCGGACGGGUGAGUAACACGUGGGCAACCUGCCUGUAAGACUGGGAUAACUUCGGGAAACCGAAGCUAAUACCGGAUAGGAUCUUCUCCUUCAUGGGAGAUGAUUGAAAGAUGGUUUCGGCUAUCACUUACAGAUGGGCCCGCGGUGCAUUAGCUAGUUGGUGAGGUAACGGCUCACCAAGGCAACGAUGCAUAGCCGACCUGAGAGGGUGAUCGGCCACACUGGGACUGGGACACGGCCCAGACUCCUACGGGAGGCAGCAGUAGGGAAUCUUCCGCAAUGGACGAAAGUCUGACGGAGCAACGCCGCGUGAGUGAUGAAGGCUUUCGGGUCGUAAAACUCUGUUGUUAGGGAAGAAUAAGUACAAGAGUAACUGCUUGUACCUUGACGGUACCUAACCAGAAAGCCACGGCUAACUACGUGCCAGCAGCCGCCGUAACAC